rnacentral:lncRNA from 1 species
CACAAUCCGAAAUAGGUAUAUAUGCUGCAACACACGAGCCUAAAAUAAGAUUAGGAAUAGGCGUAAUUCCCCUCGGAUAGGCUAUGAGCCUACCUAAUUAUAUGCAUAUUUUAAUGUACCAACAGCACCAAACAUUACAAUAGUGAUCACGUUUACAAACAAAGACCAAAACAUGAAACCUGAUACACAUAGCAAAGACCAAAACAUGAAUCAUAAGCUCAGAGAAGAAGAAAAAUAUCUUAUUGAUUUCUUACUGAUCAAUAUGAGAGUAACUAAGACAAUGGCAAUGGGAAACUUCAACACUAAAAGAGAAAAUUGUACACGUGCUUGCAGUAUGGAACUAAAUGAUCUUGUACAGCCUAGCUUCAUCAUUAUGGCAUCGCAUCCACUAAGCCCAAGUGUCGGAGUGUCGGACACUCGGGCACUCAUGUCCAACGGUCAACGCCGCGUUCACGGUCAAGACACUCCCCAUAUACGGUCAAGACACUCUCCGGACACGGAUUAACUCAUACUCACGGUCAACUAAUGUGUUAGUUCAAUUAUAAUUAAUUCAUAUAAAAUUAAUAAACUACAUUUGGAAGGUAAAGGACUUCCAGGUCAGUGGGACAUUUAUUUGCUAAGGUUUUCAUGAUAUUUUUCAUAUUGACGAUAGUUCAUCUUUUGUUUAGCCAAAACAAAAGAUAUUAUCACCUAGACUUGAUCUGAGCAAGAAAUUUGUUAUGUUACCACAAAAGAAAGGGCCUGCCUGCUUGCUGCCACUGAUGUUUUCUCAUCUAACGAAACAACAAGAAGCAUUGAAAUUAGAAAAUUAAGAUGAAAAUUGAUUCCCACUCCCAGUUGGAUUGAAUUUGUUAAAGAGACACGAACAAGUUACUUAUCUACUAAGAAUCUAAGCACAACAAUAAAGACUUAGAUUAGACUGAUAAAAUAGAAUUAGAAAAACACAUGCCUUGUAUUUCUGGUUCUGGAGAUUAAUAAUUAACAGUACAGCUGCAGCACCAUGAUCAAUCGUUGAUGACUUCUUUUUAUUUAGACAUAAUAAUAAUAUUAAUAUAUGGAUGGGAUAUUGUACUAGGACCCUCAACUGAUCAGUAUCUUUCUGGAGCAAAUGACAACUUGGAAAAUAUUUCCUGAAAAAUCUUUGGAUGCCCCCAUCAUCAAGCAGAAUUCCUUGAAUUCAUCAAAAUGUUGAAAAGUUGCGUCUUCUUUUACCACCCAAUAUCCAUAUAAUAUUAUUAUUGGAUUAGUCGGUCACAAAACAAUUUUCACUGCAGCACAGGAUAACACAUAUAUUUUUUGAUACAUUUAUAGGAAGAAUACAGCAAAAGGGAUCACCUAGUCUAUUGAGUUAGUAAUUAAGGAAGGAUUUCACAUGCUAGCUGUUUGUUUUAUUGUUUUAAUUCUGGAUGAAAUUCAGGAACUCUGAAACAAGGAAGGAACGUAGGUGAUGUCUGUGCUGAACACUAUCUAUCUCUUUCUAUAUAUAUAUAUAUAUAUAUAUAUAUUCACGUUGCAUUGGUGCUGCUCCUGCUGGAUAAGAAUGAACUAGCUGUUGCGGGUGCAUUGAGAAAAUGCUUGGGCGCCUAAGCUCACUCAUGAAUUUAUGUUUCAAAAGUAUAUAUGACAUGAAUGAAUGAAUCAAAUUCAAUUUCCGUACAUAGGGAGUCUGUUUGAUUUUCAACACCAUCAUCAGUAUUCAGUAUUCAGUAUUCAGUAUUCAGUAUUCAGUAUUCAGUAUGACUGUAUCAAGUAUCAACCAUGUCCAUGUGGCAAUGAGUUGAUAUGACUGGCACUGUAUCCUCCAAUUACCAAAGGAAAGCAAUAGCCAACUUAGAAAAUAUGAGAUAAAUAAAUAAACAUUUUAGGCAUAUUUAUUUUCUAAUUAUGAGAUAAAGUUACUGCUGAACUGAAAUUGUUGAACUACUUAUUUUCACCAUGCAUGUUCUGCAUUGCAAAUUGUGGGUAAUUACAGUCUACUCCUCCAGCUUAGACCUUAUUACAGUAGUCUAGUAGUGAUAGUGCUGACUGGGAUAUGUUAAAAAAAGUUAAUUUGGGUGGCUGGAACCUGGAACCUAGAACUUCAUUAUUUAGAGAUUCAUUUUCACACGUCUUUCCUUGAUCCUUUUUCACUCCUCUUUUCAUUUUGAGUUUGAGUUUGAGUUUUCUGUUUCAUUUCAUUUUCAUAGUUACUCGUUUUGGUUAACAUCAGUUGCUCGUUUUGACUAUUCCAAUUUCCAUCGGUGGUUAUCUUUUAGGCUAGCCUAGCUGCAAUUAAACCAUAAUUAAGCGCUUCUGAAAAAAAUUCAUUUCUCUAGUCUAGCAUAUAGAUUCACUUCAUAGGUCUUUACAUUUGGGUAUAGAAUAGAAGGGUAUCCAAGGUAGAGGUGUAUUGAAUUUGAAGGGGAUAAGCUGUUGGGUUGCGGGUGUGUUUAGGAAAUGCACGAAGUGUUGCCUUUUUUAUUAACUCAUUACACUCUUAACUUACCAAUCUUAGCAAGCACAAAGCGACAGAACAUACAAAGUGAAGAAACAGAGCAAGGAAAAGUUAAAACUCUUUUCUCUUUUGAUACAUGUGCGUCCCGCGUGCGUGUGUGAAAGAGUGAUAUCUCAAGUUGAUGACUUCAAAGUCUUAAGUUAAACUGGUCUAAUACACUUCAUAUACACCCGUGGGCCGUGGCCUUCUAAAAGGAGCCACCCAACCCAACUGGCAAUCUAAUUACCCACCAACUCAACAAAAGUAACAAAGCAUUGAUAUAAUAUUUUAACACUAAGCUUAUCAUCAUGGGUGGGUGUGUGUGCGCGCGGUUUUAUUAAUGUCAACAUUACAUUACAUUAACAUUGCAUUGAUCUAUCAGAUUCAACACAAGAGGCAACCAACCCCCAUCCGAUCUGAUUAUUGAAGCAAAUAAAAGAAUCUAUACAAAACUAGCAAAAGAUGUGGAGUUGAGACCAGCAAAAGAUGUGGAGUUGAAACCAACACAGGAUGUGGAGUUGAAACCAUCAAAGGCUGUGGAGUUGAAACUAGCAAGAGUUGUGGUGUUGAAUGCAGAAAAGAUUGUGGAAGACUUGAAGUUGGUUAAAGAUAUUCAGGAGAUAAAAUCAAAGCCAAUAUACUCACAGAUAAGUGAAGUGUAUGUAUACACGUUGUUCUCAUCCCCAUAAAAGGGGGAAAAAAAACCAUGUGAAAGCUUUGGUUGAUAGCCAAGAAGCCAUCUUUUUGUUUGUGCAGACAUGUUAUUGUGAAUUUGUGAUACUGGGGUUGAAAGUUUGGAACAAAAAUUAGAAUGAGAAUUAGAGGCAUGAUGAUUUUAAGGAUUAGUGUCUGUGCUAAUUGAUUGGUCUUUAUUUUCAAUGACCCUUGUCUUGUUUUUAUUGUGGAUUCAAAAGUGAAUGUAGUAAAGAUGAUCAGAGUAACAGAAAUCAAGUCAGAUCAAAGAUGUUCAAAUUGGUCUGCACGUUUUCCAAAACUAAAGACAAUUACUAUGACUAUCCAACGUUGGCAACAAUUAAAUUAUAGCAUAAAUAUACCAACAAAUAGAUUUUUUUAUUUUAUUAAAAGGGUAAAAGUAUAAUUUCAUAUUCAUCUGUAAUUAGUUUUAAAUUUUAAAAAAUAAGAGUAGACAAAUGGCAGAUUUUGAGUGGGAGUAUUUUUUAGCUAAUUUUUCUUUAGAAAGAUAGUAUACAUAUUAAGAACGAGUAAAAUCGUUUUUUUUUUUAAAUUAAAGACUGUCAUUAAUACAUAAAAAUCCGUCGUUUAAAUUUGGAAGAUGCACCCAAUCCAGCAUUCAAAUCAUCUAUAUAAACCAUGCCUUGCUAGUCAGAUUUCCCUCAUCCCAGAAACUUGAGUUGUUAAAUCAACAAUCACAGCAAGAGAUGUCUUCUCUCAAAAAAUGCUUCCCUCUUACCUCACUGCUUAUUCUUUUUGUCACCGCUGCAAGUGCAACAGAGCAUCAAGUGCAUCCUCCCUGGGAGCUUUUGGACCCCAACGAUCCAAAUGUGAUAAAUGCCGCCAAGUUUGCGGUCUUGGAAUACAACAAGAACGUCACCAGCAGCAGCAACAAGCUACUUUUCCAAAAAGUGAAUUGGUGUGAAUACGCUUAUCUAGCCGGCGCAUUUUAUGGGCUCGAUAUUGCCGCAAAAAAUGAGUCGUUACCUUCUCCGCCACAGAAUUAUAUUGUCGGGGUUUGGGCCAGACUUAACAGACCCUUGAAAUUGAGAGGUUUUCGUAAAGCUACAGGAGACGAAUAAUGUUUUCCGUCGCUUAUAACAAAAUAAAUUGAGUCUCAGUUUUAUGAUGUGUUACUCUACCUUGGUGGGUUUUUAAUAAACUUGAGUUCUGAAAAACAUAUAAAAAUAACUUGAGAUUGCAAUAAAAGUUUUUUUUUUUCUGUUUGUUUGUUUGUUUGUUUGUUUGUUUGUUGGUAAAGAUGCUUUAUUAGAACACCAUAAGAGUAUACUAUGAAAACAUCCAAAAAUGAACGUGAAAGUCAGGAAUAGUAGCCUCGUUGAAACCUAGCCUUAAAAAAACCUCAAAUGAAGAAAAAUCCAAUCAAGAAAAAAGAUUACACUGUAAAAUUCCCAAAUGAAUGCAAUAAAAGUUUAGAAAUUUUCUAUUGGUGCAAAAUAAUUUUUAGUUUAGUUCAAUGGGUUGGGUACAAAAAAGUAAAUUAAAUUUUUUAAUCAUUUCAACUAAAGGAUUUUUUAAUUUUAAAUAAAGCACAAGUGAUAGUCUAAAUUAGAAAAAAGGGAGAUUUCGCGCGCACACACACACACACACAAAAAUGAUGCCGUGGGGGUUCGAACCUGAAACCUUUUGUCUGUAAGUUAAUACUCUUUUCCACCGGGUUAGACCCCUUUGGCUAAAGGGUCUUACUUAUGCAGCAAAAUUUUGUUAAAUAGUCUAUGCUUAUUUUGAGUAUGAUAGUGCAACUGCUUAUGUUGCACUGACACUCCACCAAGCCCGAGUGUCGGACACUCCUCGGACUCCACUAUCAAAACACUCUCCAUAUACGGCCAAGACACUCUCCGAAUACGGGUCAACUCAUACUUAUGGUCAACUAAUGUAUUAAUUCAAUUAUAAGUCAUAUAAAAUUAAUAAACUACAUUUGAAAGGCUUGGAAAACUUGAAUUUCACUAUAUAUGAUAUUGUGAAAUUGAAGUAUAUAAACAUAAAUAAUUUGUUUUUUCAAAUAUAUAUAAGUAUUAUUAUGUAAUAUAAAAAACUAAUUAAGGUGUCCCCAUGUCGUGUAUUUGUGUCCGUGCAACAUAGGCAACCACGACUUAAAAUUCUUUUACUAUUUAUUAAAAGUAUUGUUAUUUCCACCUACCUAUCCUAUUUUUCCACCCACCUUAUUUUUAAAAUUUUAAAGACAAAACGUCAAUACACCAACCAACGCAUUUUAUACCAUGUUAUGAAUUUGACCAUAAUACUAAGUGGGAACGUUGUAUUGUAUUGAAUUAGAAAUAAUUUUAAUGUUUUAAAACCAGAUUCAAUACAAUGUUGUGAAUUUGACUAUAAACAUGAACCAAAUUCUAGAUUUGGAAUCUAACAUUCCAAAAGAAGUCAAAAGAGAAAAUGAACACUUCAACCUAUUCUCAUUGGCAUUUUAUAUCUCACUUAAUUUUCCUUUUACAGACAUAUCCUUUUGUCCUAAUUUUGUUUCCUUUUACCAUUUUAAAAAACCAAAUCCAUUGUUUUAAAUUCUGAAAAAGAGAAAUCCAUUCUUUUGAAUUGAAUGGGUGGGAAGAUACACUGAAUAUCUAUCCUUCAGUUACUUACCCAUUUAUGAAUAUUUAAUGUAAGUUGUAACCAACCAAUCCCUAUAGUAUAUAACAAACAAACUAACUAAACUAAACCACUUUCGCAAGUAAUCUCGAUGGCACUUAGCAUGUGCCACAAACCUUUAAACCCCAAAUAAAGGAAAAUUCAGUCAAGAAAAAAGAGUACACGGUAAAAUCCCCAAAUGAAUGCAAUAAAAGUUUAAAAUUUCUCUAUUGGUGCAAAAUAAUUUUUAGUUUAGUUCAAUGGGUUGGGUACAAAAGUAAAUUAUUAUUAUUUUUUAUCAUUUGAACUAAAGGUUUUUUUAUAUAUAAAUAAAUAAAGUACAAGCAAUAGUCUAAAUUAGAAGGAAUACGGUUUUCUCACACACAUACACACAAAUGAUGCCAUAUGGGUUCGAACCUGAGACAUCUUGUCUGCAAGUUAAGGCUCUGUUCUACUAGGUUAGACCAUGUUGGCUAAAAGGUCUUACUUAUGCCAUAAAAUGUUUGUUAAAUAGUUUAUACUUUUUUUGAGUAUGAUAGUGCAACUGCCUAUGUUGCACCGACAAUCCACUAAGCCCAAGUGUCGGAGUGUCGGACACUCGUGUUCACGAUCAAAACACUCCUCAUACACAGUCAAGACCCUCCCCGGAUACAGGUCAACUCAUACUUAGGGUCAACUAAUGUGUUAAUUCAAUUAUAAUUCAUAUAAAAUUAAUAAACUACAUUUGAAAGGCUUGGAAAGCUUGAAUUUCACUAUAUAUGAUAUUGUGAAAUUGGAGUAUGAACAUCAAUAAUUUAUUUUUUCAAAUAUAUAUAAGUAUUAUUGUAUAAUAAAAAUAAUAAUUGAUGUGUCCCUGUGUCGUGUAUCUGUGUCCAUGCAACAUAGGCAACUGCAACUUAAAAUUCUUUUACUAUUUAUUAAGAGUGCUGCUAUUUCCACCCCUCUUAUCUUCAAAAUUUUAAAGACAAAACAUCAAUACACCACCCAACGCAUUUUACACUAUAUUAUGAACUUGACCAAAAGUGAAUGUGGUAAAGAUGAUCAGAGUAACAGAAAUCAAGUCAGAUCAAAGCUAGAUAUAAAAAAAUAAAAAAAAAAAGUCAGAUCAAAGAUGUUCAAAUUGGUCUGCACGUUUUCCAAAACUAAAGACAAUUACUAUGACUAUCCAACGUUGGCAACAAUUAAAUUAUAGCAUAAAUAUACCAACAAAUAGAUUUUUUUAUUUUAUUAAAAGGGUAAAAGUAUAAUUUCAGAUUCAUCUGUAAUUAGUUUUAAAUUUUAAAAAAUAAGAGUAGACAAAUGGCAGAUUUUUAGUGGGAGUAUUUUUUAGCUAAUUUUUCUUUAGAAAGAUAGUAUACAUAUUAAGAACGAGUAAAAUCGUUUUUUUUUUUUAAAUUAAAGACUGUCCUUAAUACAUAAAAAUCCGUCGUUUAAAUUUGGAAGAUGCACCCAAUCCAGCAUUCAAAUCAUCUAUAUAAACCAUGCCUUGCUAGUCAGAUUUCCCUCAUCCCAGAAACUUGAGUUGUUAAAUCAACAAUCACAGCAAGAGAUGUCUUCUCUCAAAAAAUGCUUCCCUCUUACCUCACUGCUUAUUCUUUUUGUCACCGCUGCAAGUGCAACAGAGCAUCAAGUGCAUCCUCCCUGGGAGCUUUUGGACCCCAACGAUCCAAAUGUGAUAAAUGCCGCCAAGUUUGCGGUCUUGGAAUACAACAAGAACGUCACCAGCAGCAGCAACAAGCUACUUUUCCAAAAAGUGAAUUGGUGUGAAUACGCUUAUCUAGCCGGCGCAUUUUAUGGGCUCGAUAUUGCCGCAAAAAAUGAGUCGUUACCUUCUCCGCCACAGAAUUAUAUUGUUGGGGUUUGGGCCAGACUUAACAGGCCCUUGAAAUUGAGAGGUUUUCGUAAAGCUACAGGAGACGAAUAAUGUUUUCCGUCGCUUAUAACAAAAUAAAUUGAGAAUGUUUUAUUUGGGCUCUGGCCUUGUUGCAUUGAUGCUGAGAUCAGUUUGUUGAGUCUCAGUUUUAUGAUGUGUUACGCUACCUUGGUGGGUUUUUAAUAAACUUGAGUUCUGAAAAAACAUAUAAAAAUAACUUGAAAUUGCAAUAAUAGUUUUUUUUUUUCAUUUGUUGGUAAAGAUGCUUUAUUAGAAUACCAUAAGAGUAUACUAUGAAAACAUCCAAAAACCAACGUGAAAGUCAAGAAUAAGAGCUUAAAAAGAGUCACAACUUGAACUAAUCACGAGGAAACAUAGAAAAAGAUAAAAGAAGACAAGUGCCCAAAACAAUACAUUAGUAGCGUCCAGUGAUAGAGCAAUAGUAGCCUCGUUGAAAUCUAGCCUUAAAAAAACUCCAAAUGACGAAAAAUCCAGUCCAAAAAAAAGAUUACACUGUAAAAUCCCCAAAUGAAUGCAAUAAAAGUUUAGAAAUUCUCUAUUGGUGCAAAAUAAUAUUUAGUUUAGUUCAAUGGGUUGGGUACAAAAAAGUAAAUUAAAAAUUUUAAUCAUUUCAACUAAUGUUGUAAAUGCAUGAGUUGGUGGAUGACCACCAUACCUCUUAAUAUUCCACCGUUGGAUUUUAUGUAACCUAUGCACUAAGUAUUUGUAAUUAAUGCUUGUAACCUAUAGGUAUAUUGUAAAUGAUGGUAUUCAAUCUCCUAUCUUGUAAGCCUAUGAAUAGGUGGUUCUACCAAAGAUUUAGAAAGGAAUAAACAUGGUGAAGCUUUAUCUUUAGCAUAUCACUUCUCUCUACAUUUUCUCCCUCUAGUUUUAUAACAACUAAAGGAUUUUUUUUAAUUUUAAAUAAAGCACAAGCGAUAGUCUAAAUUAGAGGAAAGGGAGAUUUCACACGCGCGCACACACACACACAAAUGAUGCUAUGGGAGUUCGAACCUAAGACAUUUUGUCUGCAAGUUAAGGCUCUUUUCCACUGGGUUAGACCCCGUUGGCUAAAGGGUCUUACUUAUGCAGCAAAAUUUUGUUAAAUAGUCUAUUCUUAUUUUUAUUAUGAUAAUGCAACUGCCUAUGUUGCACCGACACUCCACUAAUCCCAAGUGUCGGACAUUCCUCGGACACUUGUGUCCGCUAUCAAAACACUCCCCAUACACGGUCAAGACACUUUCUGAAUAUAGGUCAACUCAUACUUAUGGCCAACUAAUGUGUUAAUUCAAUUUUAAUUCAUAUAAAAUUAAUAAACUACAUUUGAAAGGCUUGGAAAGCUUGAAUUUCACUAUAUAUGAUAUUGUGAAAUUAGAGUAUAUGAACAUAAAUAAUUUAUUUUUUAAAAUAUAUAUAAGUAUUAUUAUAUAAUAAUAAAAAUUAAUUGAUGUGUCCCCGUGUCGUGUAUUUGUGUCCGUGCAAUAUAGGCAACUACGACUCAAAAUUCUUUUACUAUUUAUUAAGAGUACUACUAUUUUCACCUACCUGUCUUAUUUCCCACCCACAUUAUCUUCAAAAUUUUAAAGACAAAACAUCAAUACACCAACCAACAUAUUUUAUACCAUGUUAUGAAUGUGACCAUAAUACUAAGAGGGAACCACUAUUGUAUUGAAUUAGAAAUAAUUUUAAUGUUUUAAAACCAGAUUCAAUACAAUGUUAUGAAUUUGACUAUAAACAUGAACCAAAUUCUAGAUUUGCAAUCUAACAUUCCAAAAGAAGUCAAAAGAGAAAAUGAACACUUCAACCUAUUCUCAUUGGCAUUUUAUAUCUCACUUAAUUUUCCUUUUACAGACAUAUCCUUUUGUCUUAAUUUUGUUUCCUUUUACCAUUUAAAAAAACCAAAUCCAUUGUUUUAAAUUCUGAAAAAGAGAAAUCCAUUCUUUUGAAUUGAAUGGGUGGGAAGAUACACUGAAUAUCUAUCCUUCAAUUACUUACCCAUUGAUGAAUAUGUAAUUAUUCGGACCGAAAUUAACACAAGUUAAUUCCUAUAGUUAACAGGCUAGUCUUAUGGUUAGCAAAGUGGGGCCCAAACUACCAGGAGUUUAUUCAGCAUCUGUGAAGGCCCAAUUAGUGACUAACAAGGCCCAAAGACCUUCGGAUAGAAGCUGGCCGUAAACAUUGACCAGUGCAUGGUCAACCAACCCUUCGGACAAAAGUGUCCGAAGCUACAGUGCAUGGCUUCGAACACAAGUGUACGCCACUACAGUCUCACUUCGGACAUAAGAGAUGUCCUAUGCUGCAGUUCCAUUUCGGACAGGAAAUGUCUGAAGUUAUAGUAAAAGCAAAUUAAAGUGUAUUUAUAACCAAUCUAAGUGGUUUUUGACAGUUCAUUUAACAAGAAGUAUGAGUUAAUUGGAUAGCAGUUUGAGCUUUGGGUAAAAAAUAAUACAAACUGUUAUGCUUGUACAGGUUGUACGCACUGAUCUCCAACAAAACAAUAAAGAAAUCUGCUUUGACAGAGAAUAUUCAGUUCAUGAUAGGUAAAGAAUGGUAAAAAAAUCCAAAGCUGACUCGUUGCGGUGCCUCCUGCAAAAUGGUCCCAAAGUGAAACUAGAAAGCACCUCCAAUGAUCAACUUGAAAGGCAUGUGCUCAUUAUCUUGUGAAUUCUUUAUAGUUUGAAGCAGCAAUGCCCAUCAAGCAGCCAUCUUCCCCCUCCCCCCCCUCCCCUUUUUUCUGAAGACCUUAAAGCCUAUAAAUAGAGGAAUAAAGCUCAGUAUCAAGGAUCCAACAACGAAUCAAUCAAACCUAUUUUGAACAUCCUUCAAAAUACACUUACUCUUGACAACCUCGAAGUAACCCAGACUCAAACUCUUACAAAGCGUCUCACUGCAGACCAAAUCCAAGUCUUGAAUCGAACCCUCUCCGUUUCUCUGAGUUCCCAGUUGACAACUCCUGAUUGGAAUUCUAUUCUUUUCCCGAACACUUACUUUGUCCAGUUCCUAGUUGACAACUCCUGAUUGAAAUUGCAUUGCUAUUGUUUGUAAUCUAUAUGCUCUACCAACACUACUUGGUAUGAUUUGAUAGUUGGUCUCGAUUUCCAGCUCAUUUAAAUCAAAACUCCUAUCUGUAGUUCAGACAACUUAUGACUGCAUAUAUACUUGACAAACUCUUAUCGAACAUACCUUCUGCACUGUCUCAAGUAGAUUGCAGUUUCUGUCCGAUAAGGCUUUUUGUAGUUUUUGUUGGACCUAGCUUUACUUUUACUUGCUUUCAUUGUAAGUCUCUGUUAGGUAUAUCAUUAUCUUCUGGUAUUAUGUUGUCCAUCGGACACCUCCCCUGCAUGGCUCGGUAUUGUACUUUAUGUCCGAUGACAGUCUAAAAUCAUCAUCCAUCUUGCAUUUUAUUCCAUAAUAGGUGAAAUAUUGAAGUCUUCGUUGUUGAGGCAUAGAAAAAAACCAAUCUAAAGCAAAAUUCCCCUCUUUAGAGGACAAUGGCUUUGAUUAGAAGAUAAGAAAAUACAGGCGCAAUACUUUAACAAGCUUAAUCUUCACCUCACUCCCUCUUUCUACUAGAAAAGUAUCACUAGUAGUGCCACGCCUAUCGCAUUUCACGAGAGAGCAGCUUUCGAGCCCACUUCAGGGCCCGGUCUCUCUCGCUUCACUUCCUUUACCAACAAGCAACUGCUAGCUGCCGACGUAUAGCCUACUAGCGGCCAGUGGCAUUGCAAUGUUCAAAACUUGACGAACAAUAAUGUAAAUUGUAACCAACCAAUCGCUAUAGUAUAUAUACAGACCAUGCACCAAUAAGAUUUUCUUCAAACCAAAGCUUAAAAACUUUUGAUUCCUCAUUCAUCACAUUCACAUCAUAAAUUUAAAUUUAAAUUACAAUGUAUCCUCAUUGCUUCCUUACACCGAUACUGAUGACCACUCUACUAAUUCAUCUGGCCACCUUCAGUGCCACAACAAAUCGAGUUCUUGGUGCCUGGAUGCGUGUAAACACCAUCGAUCGAGUUGUGGUAGAAAAUGGAAAGUGGGUUGUUUUGGAGUACAACAAGAAUGUCACAAACAAGUUGGUUUUUCAAAGGGUGGUUUCAGGCGAGACCAUAUACAUAUAUCAGGCAUCUUUUAUGGGCUUGUCGUUGCGGCUAAGAGCAGCUCCACCGCUCUAUCCAAACAGGGCAAAAGGCUGCCCUUGCAAGCCCAAAGUCGUCCAGCGCGCAAGAUUGAGCCCCGGCAAUCAAUGGAUCCCACCAACCCGGACAGGCCCAAGGGCAAUUCUCGCCUGGGCUUCAGCCCGAGGGGGGGUGACACGUGUCGCAACCAGGCUUCUCCGAUGAAUACAACAUGAUGAUUUUAAGGAUUAGUGUCUGUGCUAAUUGAUUGGUCUUUAUUUUCAAUGACCCUUGUCUUGUUUUUAUUGUGGAUCAUUCUGCAGUUCGUAUUCCACCAUGGGAUUCAAAAGUUAAUGCAGUAAAGAUGAUCGCAGUAAAAGAAAUCAAGUCAGAUCAAAGCUAGAUAUUAAAAAAAGUCAGAUCAAAGAUGUUCAAAUUGGCCUGCACGUUUUCCAAAACUAAAGACAAUUACUAUGACUAUCCAACCUUGGCAACAAUUAAAUUAUAGCAUAAAUAUACCAACAAAUAGAUUUUUUUAUUUUAUUAAAAGGGUAAAAGUAUAAUUUCAGAUUCAUCUGUAAUUAGUUUUAAAUUUUAAAAAAUAAAAAUAGACAAAUGGCAGAUUUUUAGUGGGAGUAUUUUUUAGCUAAUUUUUCUUUAGAAAGACAGUAUGCAUAUUAAGAAUGAGUAAAAUCAUUUUUUUUUAAAAUUAAAGACUGUCAUUAAUACAUAAAAAUCCGUCGUUUAAAUUUGGAAGAUGCACCCAAUCCAGCAUUCAAAUCAUCUAUAUAAACCAUGCCUUGCUAGUCAGAUUUCCCUCAUCCCAGAAACUUGAGUUAUUAAAUCAACAAUCACAGCAAGAGAUGUCUUCUCUCAAAAAAUGCUUCCCUCUUACCUCACUGCUUAUUCUUUUUGUCACCGCUGCAAGUGCAACAGAGCAUCAAGUGCAUCCUCCCUGGGAGCUUUUGGACCCCAACGAUCCAAAUGUGAUAAAUGCCGCCAAGUUUGCGGUCUUGGAAUACAACAAGAACGUCACCAGCAGCAGCAACAAGCUACUUUUCCAAAAAGUGAAUUGGUGUGAAUACGCUUAUCUAGCCGGCGCAUUUUAUGGGCUCGAUAUUGCCGCAAAAAAUGAGUCGUUACCUUCUCCGCCACAGAAUUAUAUUGUUGGGGUUUGGGCCAGACUUAACAGGCCCUUGAAAUUGAGAGGUUUUCGUAAAGCUACAGGAGACGAAUAAUGUUUUCCGUCGCUUAUAACAAAAUAAAUUGAGAAUGUUUUAUUUGGGCUCUGGCCUUGUUGCAUUGAUGCUGAGAUCAGUUUAUUGAGUCUCAGUUUUAUGAUGUGUUACUCUACCUUGGUGGGUUUUUAAUAAACUUGAGUUCUGAAAAACAUAUAAAAAUAACUUGAGAUUGCAAUAAAAGUUUUUUUUUUUCUGUUUGUUUGUUUGUUUGUUGGUAAAGAUGCUUUAUUAGAACACCGUAAGAGUAUACUAUGAAAACAUCCAAAAAUGAACGUGAAAGUUAGGAAUAGUAGCCUCGUUGAAAUCUAGCCUUAAAAAAACCCCAAAUGAAGAAAAAUCCAGUCAAGAAAAAAGAUUACACUGUAAAAUCCCCAAAUGAAUGCAAUAAAAGUUUAGAAAUUAUCUAUUGGUGCAAAAUAAUUUUUAGUUUAGUUCAAUGGGUUGGGUUCAACUAAAGGAUUUUUUAAAUUUUAAAUAAAGCACAAGCGAUAGUCUAAAUUAGAGGAAAGGGAGAUUUCACGCACACACACACACACAAAUGAUGUCAUGGGGGUUCGAACUUGAGACCUUUUGUCUGCAAGUUAAGGCUACUUUCCACUGGGUUAGACCCAUUUGGCUAAAGGGUCUUACUUAUGCAGCAAAAUCCACCAAGCCCAAGUGUCGAACACUUGUGUCCACUAUCAAAACACUCUCCAUAUACGGUCAAGACACUCUCCGAAUAUGGGUCAACUCAUACUUAUGGUCAACUAAUGUAUUAAUUCAAUUAUAAGUCAUAUAAAAUUAAUAAACUACAUCUUGAAAGGCUUGGAAAGCUUGAAUUUCACUAUAUAUGAUAUUGUGAAAUUGAAGUAUAUAAACAUAAAUAAUUUGUUUUUUCAAAUAUAGAUAAGUAUUAUUAUGUAAUAUAAAAAACUAAUUAAGGUGUCCCCAUGUCAUGUAUUUGUGUCCGUGCAACAUAGGCGACCACGACUUAAAAUUCUUUUACUAUUUAUUAAAAGUAUUGUUAUUUUCACAUACCUGUCCUAUUUUCUCACCCACCUUAUUUUUAAAAUUUUAAAGACAAAACGUCAAUACACCAACCAAAGCAUUUUAUACCAUGUUAUGAAUUUGACCAUAAUACUAAGUGGGAACGUUGUAUUGUAUUGAAUUAGAAAUAAUUUUAAUGUUUUAAAACCAGAUUCAAUACAAUGUUAUGAAUUUGACUAUAAACAUGAACCAAAUUCUAGAUUUGGAAUCUAACAUUCCAAAAGAAGUCAAAAGAAAAAAUGAACACUUCAACCUAUUCUCAUUGGCAUUUUAUAUCUCACUUAAUUUUCCUUUUACAGACAUAUCCUUUUGUCCUAAUUUUGUUUCCUUUUACCAUUUUAAAAAACCAAAUCCAUUGUUUUAAAUUCUGAAAAAGAGAAAUCCAUUCUUUUGAAUUGAAUGGGUGGGAAGAUACACUGAAUAUCUAUCCUUCAAUUACUUACCCAUUCAUGAAUAUAUAAUGUAAGUUGUAACCAAGCAAUCCCUAUAGUAUAUAUACAAACCAUGCACCAAUAAGAUUUUCUUCAAAUCAAAGCUUAAAAACUUUUGAUUCAUCAUUCAUCACAUUCACAUCAGAAAUUUAAAUUUAAAUUACAAUGUAUCCUCAUUGCUUCCUCACACUGACAUUGAUGAUCACUCUACUCAUUCCUCUUGCCACCGCCAGUGCCACAACAAACCGAUAUCCUGGUGCCUGGAUGCCUGUAAACACCAGCGAUCCAGUUGUGGUAGAAAAGGGAAAGUGGGCUGUUUUGGAGUACAACAAGAAAGUCACAAACAAGUUGGUUUUUCAAAGGGUGGUUUCAGGCGAGACCAUAUAUAUAUCAGGCAUCUUUUAUGGGCUUGUCGUUGCGGCUACGAAUGAGUCAUUGCCUAACCCACCUGAAAAUUACCAUGCUGGUGUCUGGGCCAAAUUUUUUGAACCCUUGAAAUUAAGAACCUUUUACAAAGGGAACUGAAGAAAGAUUAUUGUUUAUUUAGUCUUGUUCUAAUUUGUUGUCUCCAGAGUCGUUCUAUAAUAAGGUCUAUAUAUAUGGACUUCAAGUGAGAGUCUAGUUUUAGCCGUUGGAUUACUUUGAUCUUGUCAAAUUCUUCUAAGGUCCAUAUAUAGAGGCCUCAUUAUAGAAUUUCGAUGCUACAUCGCUUGAUUAUAUAUUAAUAUAAUAAAUAAACAGAUGUUUGUUAUAGGAUAUUAAUAAUCUUAUUUUAUUUAGACAUAAUAAGGAUGAGUCCUUUUCCUUAAACUUAACAUAUUUAUGGAGUAAAUGACAGUUUUGAUGCCCCAACGUCAUUAUUAUAGGCUUCGUUUGUAAUUGUUUUUCAUUUCUUUCUUCUGUUUCUUUCUAAUUUCUAGGGUUUAAUUUAUUUUUUAUUUUUGUUAAGUUCAAUCUUCACCCACAUUGAAGAAACUUAUCUCCAAUCUCUAGUUUCUAGUUUAUUUUCCUAUUAUUGUGAGUUUUAUGGGUGUCUGCAAUGCUUGGUUUAUAUGCUUUUGCUAUGAUUAUUGUUUUUCGUUUGAUCAAAGCUCUAGUUAUUGUUAAUUUGAAUGCUUUUCUUUUGGUUUGUUGUCCUAUACAUGGAGUGUGUUUUCUGUUUCUUUGGUUGAUUUUGUCUUGAUGAUUUGUGCUGUCAUCUAAAGUUGGAAGUCCUAUUUUUGCUGGAAGUUUGAGAACAUAGUUUAGGACUAAAAUUGAUAGUUUUGUAGGUGACCCCUUUCUCAUUAGUUUAGGACUAAGAUUGGCCAACACAUGACUACAUAUCUUUUUUUUUUUUUUUUUUAAUUAUUUUUUUUUUUAUGAAACAAGGGGGAAAGAACCCCAAAACCUAAUCCAACAGCUACACAACUUGAACCAAACGAGGGUGACCAACUCCUUAAGAGUCAUCAAUCAAAAUGGAACCAAGACAACUAGGAGCCUCAUCUAAAAACCAAACACCCAACCCCACAUUAACUACAUAUCUUGCAUGUGUUUAUGUUGUAAAUGGUUUUCUAGAGUAAAGUUAGCUUAGUUUAUGAUCGAUUGGCAGCCUUUCGUCUCUCUCAUUCAAUUGGGUCAACUAUUUGGCACUUUAUGCGAGAGUGGGAAGGAUUGGCUUUGUUUGGUUAAGUGCAUUAAUUCUUUUCUUUUCUUUGUUUGGCUAAUGUGAACUUUGUUUUCACAUCUUCUCGCUCUUUUUUCUUUUGCAGGCCCCUUCUUCUUCUGUCCUUUUGUGGCCAUAGGCGGUGCAUAGGCAAAACUAGCAGAUGCUAUGGACGUCCUACAAGAAGCAUUGCUUUAUGUGUUUAGUUCAAUCCAAUAGGAUUUUUUAUGUAACUAGUUAAGCUGUAGUAUGGUCAUUGACUUGAGGACAUGGCCUAGCUAAAUUUGAUGCAUCUAUUUUUUUGGAAACACCACAAAUAAUGCAUUGAUGAGAUUGACUUCAUUUUGGAAACACCACAAAUGGUAUAACAUAUUGCGAGCAUUAAAGCCAAACGGUGCAUGAUUGUGGGCCUUCUUUGUUUCAUUUUGAAAUUGUGGAUGUUUAUUUGUAUGUAUUAAUAGUAUAAUUGUGUGCAGUGAAUUGAACAACUUUGGCAUAGAGGAAGAAUUUAUAACUUUUUGCAUAUAUGAUGAAAUUCUGACAUUGACAUCUACAUAUAAAUUCUAAGUUUUGCAUAUAUGCAUAUCUUGAAAUUCUUGAAGCAUGAGUUGAGGUAGGUGGUUGUUAUUGAUACAUUAAUCACAUUUUUUGUGUUUGCAUACAAAUAAAGACUCAAUUAUACAUAAACUCAGCGGAAUUUGUAACUUUAACCGCAACAAAAAAGCCUUUGGUUUGGAGUAAAAUAAAUGUACAUGUCAAUUUGGUAAUUAUAAUAAGACUUAAAUGUCAAAAUGGUCCCUGUGUUUUACUUCAUCGGCCAAUUUAAUCCCCGUGUUAUCAAUUUGGCCAAUUUAAUACCUAUGUUUGUAUAUGUUAGCAUGUGUGAUCCUUUUUGCCAAAAUUUUGUUAAAACUGGAAAAAAAAUUAAUUUAAAAAACUGUAAUUAAUUAUUACAUAUCCAAAUUCAAUCUAAAAAUGGAAUUAAAAAAAGUUUUGCCUCCCCAAAUUUCACGCUUAGAACUCAACCAUCUCCCAAACCCAUAGCCACUCUCACUACACCCACUUCAACCCCAAAAAAUACACAUUGUGUGCUGGUAGUGGAGAAGGAAGAUGAUUGCGACAAGAAAAUACGAUUGACUAUCACUUUCUUUGCUAGAGGAUACAAGAACAUCGCUUUUAAUAAUUAAGUUUUAUUAUUUGAAUUUGAAUAUUUGUAAUUAAUUUAAAUAUUUUUUUCCUUCAGUUUCAAUUGAAUUUUGACAAGAAUGACCACAUUUGCUAAAAUAUAUAAACACAUAGACUAAAUUGGCCAAAUUAAUAAUACGAGGACUAAAUUGGCCGAUGAGGUAAAACACAGGGACCAUUUUAAUAUUUAAGCCUUAUAAUAACAAAAAACCUUAGAUUUAAUUAUUUAAAAAUUAUUAUUUUUAAAUAUUAAAAUUAUUAUUUUUUAAUCCGACAUAGCACCAAACUUAGGUCUUCACUAUUUUUACAAUCCAGCUUCUUAGUCCGACGCAACACUAAACGUAGGUCAGUACUUAAUCUAGCUUAGGCCAAUCCGAGCUAAUCCAAGAUAGUCCCAGGAUUUAGUCCAGUCCAUGACAGUCUGCAAUACCAAACGACCCCUUAAGGUGUCUCAUCUUGAUUGAUUGAUUGAGCACCUGCCACCUUGACCAUUGGGUUGUGUUUCAUCAAAACUCAUACGCAACAUUCAUAUAUAUGUGUGUGUGUGUGUGUGUGUGUGUGUCCUGCCUGUAAUGUAAUGUGCAUGCACAAUCUGAAUAGGUAUAUAUGCUGGGGUUUGUAAAUAACAAUGUUGAAGUACCAACCUUCGAACCCUAAACCCUAAACCCAAAGGAGGAAAGAAGCCGAAUUUUCUGUCAGAUUGCAUACACUUGCUGGAAUAUAUGGAAGAAUAGGAAUAGGGUGGUGUUUGACAAUUGCACACCCCAACCCCAGCAAACCCUCAAGGCCAUUUUCAACCUGGUAAAUGAAAGAUUUUCUCUAAAAUAAUCAAUCACCACUUCCACCAUUAGAUCCGUUCAUCCCUCUGCCCAGGCUUCAUGGGCAGCCCCUUUUGAGCCUUUUGUCAAAAUAAAUGUUGAUGCCGCUUGGCGGAAAAGCACAUGUCGUGCGGGGGCUGGCAUAAUUAUUUGAAAAUUUUGAAGGGAGAUUUCUUGGGGCCAAAUUUGUGGAUUUUCAAACGGAGAAUGCUCUUAUGGCUAAGGCAACUGAGUUAUGGGAGGGCUGAAAAUUUGCUAAGGAGUGGGGUCACAACAUGGUUUGUUUGGAGUUGGAUUCUUUGGAGCUUAUCAAAAGUGUUCGUGGCUCUUUUGGUUGAGGGAGUUGGACUUUGUAACCAAUUCUUACCCUCAUCCGCGAUGAGCAACGACGCUUUGAAGAGUGCAGGUGGAAUUGGACAACCAGAAAUUGUAAUCAAGCGGCGGAUCAUCUUGCGUCGCUGGCACUAUAGAGGAGGAGUACGGAAGUUUGGGUUGAUCGGCCCCCCACCUCUCUUGUGCACAUCCUUUGCAAGGACGGACUCCCUUCUCAUCACCAUGCCUAAUUUGGCUGUUAACUGGUCUUGAAUGGUUUUGACAUCCUUGUGGUUGGAUUGUCUUUCUGGUGCUUUUUUCUUGAUCAGUCUAAAUUUUUUUGUUUGUUUUCUGGACUCUCUAUGCAUUGUUUGUUUCCUUGCAUGGACAGACUUGUUCUUGUUUAGGGUUUCUUUGCUUUGAAUAUAAGAUCUUUUCAACCAAAAAAAGAAAGAAAAAAGAAUAGGUAUAUAUGCUGCAACACAUGAGCCUAAAAUAGGAUUAGGAAUAGGCGUAAUUCCACUCGGAUAGGCUAUUAGCCUACCUAAUCAUAUGCAUAUUUUAAUGUACCAACAUCACCAAACAUUACAAUAGUGAUCACGUUUACAAACAAAGACCAAAACAUGAAACCUGAUACACACAGCAAAGACCAAAACGUGAAUCAUAAGCUCAGAGAAGAAGAAAAAUAUCUUAUUGAUUUCUUACUGAUCAAUAUGAGAGUAACUAAGACAAUGGCAAUGGGAAACUUCAACACUAAAAGAGAAAAUUGUACACGUGCUUGCAGUAUGGAACUAAAUGAUCUUGUAUAGCAUAGCUUCAUCAUUAUGGCAUCGCAUCCAUUUAGCCCAAGUGUCGGAGUGUCAGACACGAGUGAUGGAACUAAAUGAUCUUGUAUAGCCUAGCUUCAUCACUCCCCAUAUACAGUCAAGACACUCUCCGGACAUAGGUUAACUGAUACUCAUGGUCAACUAAUGUGUGUGUUCAAUUAUAAUUAAUUCAUAUAAAAUUAAUAAACUACAUUUGGAAGGUAAAGGACUUUCAGGUCAGUGGGACAUUUACUUGCUAAGGUUGUCAUGAUAUUUUUCAUAUUGACGAUAGUUCAUCUUUUGUUUAGCCAAUACAAAAGAUAUGAUCACCUAGACUUGAUCUGAGUAAGAAAUUUGUUAUGUUACCCACAAAAGAAAGGGCCUGCCUGCUUGCUGCCACUGAUGUUUAACUGAUUCAUUCAUGACAUGACAUGAGGCAUCCAUCCAUAUUAAUUAAGCACAACAAUAAAAGACUUAGAUUAGACUGAUAAAAUAGAAUUAGAAAAACACAUGCCUUGUAUUUCUGGUUCUGGAGAUUAAUAAUUAACAGUACAGCUGCAGCACCAUGAUCGAUCGUUGAUGACUUCUUUUUAUUUAGACAUAAUAAUAUUAAUAUAUGGAUAUUGGGCGGUAACAUUGUAUAUAUAAUGAGAAAUUGGUAACACUGAUCAUAUCAUAUCAUUCUACUUUUCUCUGUUUCAUCUUUUCUCUGUUCUCAUGAACAGCAUCCUUGUCACCUUGUUGAUGUUCCUUGGAACACAAGGCUAUGAUCAUCAAUCUCAUGCCUUGACCCUCAAAAUCAAACACCAUCCCUUCCCCUUCCCCAAUAUCCCCAACAAAGCUUCUGCUUCUGCGCCAGUGACAAGGGUAUUCUCUGGCCUCUUCUAUACACACCUGUAUGUCGGAACUCCGCCCGUGAAAGUCAACCUGGCCGUUGACACCAGAAGCAGUCCCACAUGGGUCCAGUCUGCCCAUUGGACGGAGUGCUUCCAAGUUUCGUUGCCCAAUUUCGACCCCAACAGUUCGCUCACUUUCCAGCCUAUGCCCUCCGGCCAUCCACUCUGUCACGGUAUAGAAGAGGCCAGAGAAUACCCUUGUCACUAGUGCAGAAGCAGAAGCUUUGUCGGGGAUAUUGGGGAAGGGGAAGGGAUGGUGUUUGAUUUUGAGGGUUAAGGCAUGAGAUUGAUGACCAUAGCCUUGUGUUCCGAGGAACACCAACAAGGUGAGGAAGAUGCUGUUCAUGAGAACAGCGAAAAGAUGAAAGAGAGAAAAGUAGAAUGAUAUGAUAUGAUUAGUGUUAAGCAAUUUCUCACUAUAUAUACAAUGUUACCACCCAAUAUCCAUAUAAUAUUAUUAUUGGAUUAGUCGGUCACAAAGCAAUUUUCAUUGCAGCAUAGGAUAGCACAUAAUUUUCUGAUAUAUUUAUAGAAGGAAUAUAGCAAAAGGGAUCACCUAGUCUAUUGAGUUAGUAAUUAAGGAAGGAUUUCACAUGCUAGCUGUUUGUUUUAUCGUUUUAAUUCUGGAUGAAAUUUAGAGAUUCAUUUUCACAUGUCUUUCCUUGACUCUUUCUCACUCCUCUUUUCAUUUUGAGUUUGAGUUUGAGUUUUCUGUUUCAUUUCAUUUUCAUAGUUGCUCGUUUUGGUUAACAACAGUUGCUCGUUUUGGUUAGCAUCAGUUGCUCGUUUUGACUAUUCCAAUUUCCAUCGGUGGUAAUCUUUUAGGCUAGCCUCGCCGCAAUUAAACCAUAAUUAAGCGCUUCUGAAACAAUUCAUUUGUCUAGUCUAGUGUAUAGAUUCACUUUAUAGGUCUUUACAUUUGGGUCUAGACUAGAAGGGUAUCCAAGGUAGAGGUGUAUUGAAUUUGAGGGGGAUAAGCUGUUGCGUUGCGUUGCGGGUGUGUAUAGGAAAUGCAUGAAGUCUUGCCUUUUUUUAUUAACUCAAUACACUCUUAACUUACCAAUCUUAGCAAGCACAAGGCAACAGAACACACAAAGUGAAGAAACAUAGCAAGGAAAAGUUAUAUCUCUUUUCUGUUUUGAUACAUGUGCGUUCCGCGUGCGUGUGUUUAAAGAGUGAUAUCUCAAGUUGAUGACUUCAAAGUCUUAUAAGUGGAACUUCUCUAGUACACUUCAUAUACACCCGCGGCCUUCUAAAAGGAGCCACCCAACCCAACUGGCAAUCUAAUUUUAACACUAAGCUCAUCAUCAUGGGUGGGUGUGUGUGUGCGCGGUUUUAUUAAUGUCAACAUUACAUUACAUUAACAUUGCAUUGAUCUAUCAACGUUAACAUUGCAUUGAUCUAUCAGAUUCAACACAAGAGGCAACCAACCCCCAUCCGAUCUGAUGAUUGAAGCAAAUAAAAGAAUCUAUACAAAACUUACAUUAUAGAACGAGAUCGUCACAACAUACGGUACACUACCUUUCAUAAGCUAAAACCUCAAAAAUAAAUAAAUAAAUAAUCACAUGCUGAUUUUAAGUCAUGCAUCAGUUGGCCUUUAUCAGGAUAUACACAACUUACAAUUUAUUUCACUUAUUGCUCCACUAUACAUCUUCUCAUUGCCACUGAGUGUUGUUCCGUUCGGUUGGAGAGCCGGGGACAAAGGGAACAAAACCCCGGCCGCCAAACACUGGACGCAUGAAGGCAUUAUCAAACUUACGCCAAUAGCGAUGGACAGUGUGUGUAGGAGUUGUCAGAAGAUCACGUAUGCUGGCCGGCCGCCGAACCUCUUGGCUACCCAGAUCACCUUCAGAAUCCUGCCCAAGAAGUGGAACAAUGAUUGAUUUUGGAGUGGUUGGUUCUGACAACACCAUGCUGGUUGUUUGUUUUGAAUGAGGCACCAAGAACCUUAUAAGAGGCUUUGUCAUCAAACCAAACACCUGAACACAAAUCCAGUGAAAAUAAUCAUUCCCGAUUCCAAGAAAAUGAACAUGUAUCAUAAUACAUAUGUAAAUCCAAAUUUGCCGCAAACAUGACAUUAAUGUGGAUAUUGGUGGCCAUCAAAUUUAAACUUCUGGUUGACACAAAAACCAUCGGAAACAGAAUGAAUUAAAAGAAUGGCAAACCACUGCAAGUUCCACAAGUAACCAAGUAUAGUUUAAGACAAUGCUGCGAUACACAGAAUCCAGAGGAGAGGCCUUACCACUGUGCUGACGAGAACAACAGUUAUCGUGCUAGUGAUCAAGAUUGCAUUCGGUCGCAAUUGUGUGUGGCCUGACCUUGUAAACUGCAUUCAAAGGAAAAUUCUAUUAUAUCAGACCAUUUGCCUUUCCUUAAAUCUCUGCUUACAUCCUGAAAUUGUUUCUAGUAGAUUCCACAGAAGGCCAACAAAUUUUCCCUAGCAUAUUUUUCUCCAAAUAAUGCUUAAUUACUUCUGAAGGAUUGUUAACGCUAUACAAGAUUAUUGUGUCCCCAAAAAACUACCUGAUUACUAGACGGAACUACUGCCAUUAAAAACACAAACCUGAUAUAGUACAAAUAUCUUUUGACAAUAUAGUAAACGUUCUCAAUUUAAUAAAAUUCUCAUGAAAGGCGAUUUUUUAAUUUUUCUCUAUGACAAGUAGGGAGAUAAAAAUGUAUAACUUGCCUGAUUAUAAGCAAGUGCUAUAGACACAGCACCUCUCAUGAGACCAGCCCACCAUAUUAUCACCUACAGUAACAAAAAUGUUGGUUUAAUGUGUUAGUUCACCAUAUCAGAUGGGAAAAAAAAAAGGUGGUGCCACUGAAAAAACAGAGUGCUUACUUGCUGCCGGAGGCUAAUUUUCUCAUUUGGAUUUUUCUUAGCUAAGUUCGACAAAAAUGAUAGGGGGAAAACAAAAGCUGCUCUUCCGAGCAUAAGAAGACCUAGCAGUAUUGAACUCACUGCCACUGAUGUUCCAGGACUGCGAAUGCAAAAUCAAGCACCACAUGUAAACCCACUAGAGAGUUAGUAGAAAUCAGUUAUGUUCUAGAACUUGAGUCAAAGAUAUGAUGGGAUAAUGUUACGAGCAGAUACAAGGUUCAAAACCAUUCUGUGUGAACAAAUAACGACAUACCUGUCACUUACAAAUCUCCACUUUUCAAUGUCCAAGGCAUCCAUACCAACAUAAAGGAAGAUAAAAAUCUCAGCAACAAAUGACAAGGUUGCAAACGCAUGCCUGUAAAAUUUUGUUGAAAAAUUCAAACAAUUAGUUAAACGGCCUAUUAACCUGUGUCCUAUACAGGACCAUUGCUUUCAAAUGGCUUGGAGGUAAUUUUCAGGAAGCCAUACUUGGUUGUGACUCUUGAACUCUCAGUCACGUUAUGCCAAGUGUAAUGGGACAUCACAAUCCCACAAAAGAAUACAGUGAGAAUGCCACUCAAAUAGAAUAACUGCAACACACAUCAAAUAUAUCACUAUUAUAGUUGUUUAUAUGCCUAAAGCAAUAAGAUCCAAAUAAACACUUGAAGCUGGGAAGGAGGAGGGAAGAAGGCUUUGAGCCUUCUGUAGAAUGCCCAGAGUAGAGGAGAAGCUUACUUCAGCCAGUAUAUAUGACAGGUAUGCCAUGAGCAUCAUAAGAGCAACUUCACGAUCUGUAGAGUGCCUGAAUUAUGUCAGAAACCAAGUUGUGUCAGGAAAAAAAAAUCUUCUCUAAAACUGCCGUGGUUUCAACAUAGAAAUAAAAAUCCUUGAGACACUAAACAAAACAGGACCCUAAAACUCUAUGCAUGACUUGUUACCUGCCAAAAUAAAGCUUUUUGAUAAUGUAAGCACUGAGCAGCCCUGCCUACAAGAGAGAGAUGUUAUACCAAGGUACAAAAAAUGAAAACAAUAUAGCACACUUGUAUAUAUGGACAUGGAAUAGAGACAGGUACUUACAAACACUCCUAGCAUGGUGCUUGUGAAAAACAAAUAUAAGAAGUUGCCCAUAAAAUGCAAAGCAAUUCUGGAAUCAAUGUGAGUGAGAUCAAAGCUCUGGAUAGCAUUGAAAAGCACCACAGAUGUAGCAUCGUUAACAACACCCUCCCCAAAUACAAGACUGUAGAGUAAAGGUGUCUCAUCCUGAUUGAGCACCUGGACCAUUGGGUAAACAACUUUAGUGUUGAAUUGUUGGUGUUUAUUUAUUUGAAAAACUCAGACGCAACAUUGAUAUGUGCCCUACCUGCAACGUGCAUACAGAAUCCGUUGCAGCAAAUAUUGCACCAAUUGCUGCAAACAGGAGCUUAAAAUAGUUAGACCACAAAUAGAAUUUCAAGAAACAAGCGAAACAAAGAAAAUGAUAUUACCAAGAUAAUCCCCUAUAUCCAGCGAACCAAUGUCCAGUUUCUUAAAUAUUUGUGUAGCACCUGAGUCAAGCAAGACACAAUAAGUUAAAUGUUCAGAUUUCUGUAUCACACUUGUUUUAUCCACCAGGAAGAAAGGCACAUGUCAUAGGAUUCAUAAUUCAUAAAUUAAAACUGCUAUUAUGCACAUCAUGGUAACAUCAUGUACAGAGUUAUGAGCAUACCUAAUGAUAUGAUGCAGAAGGAUAUUAAUGUUCCAAUAGCACCAAACAUUACAAUAGUGAUGAAGUUUACAAAGAACUGCUUCUUUUUCACCUGAAACCUGAUACACAUAGCAAAGACCAAAACAUGAAUUAUAUAAGCUCAGAGAAGAAGACAAGUCUUGUUGAUUAGUGACCAAUAUGAGAGUAACUAGGGCAAUGGCAAAUGGAAACUUCAACAGAAACAAGAAAAUUGGAGUUCUGCUUGCAGGAUGGAAAUAAAUAAUCUUGUGUAGCCUCAGUACACUACACAUUUAUAUAAAUAAAUAAAAAGCCUCCGAUUAUCAAAUUUCUAUGCUUAUUUAAAUGGAAUAACUAAAUAAUGACAUAGUUAUUAAUAUUCCUUGAUUAUGGAUAUGUUGGAGCUGAAACCCAUUGGACAGUACGCCUAUCCAGGCCUGACACUGGAUGCACAAUACAAGUACGGUUUAAUUUGUAAGUCUAAAACAAUUUUGAGUCCUUGAGACAUCCAUAUAGUAACACUUGUAAAUGUAUACAGAGCAUAUGCUGAUGCUUUUUCUUUAUAUGAUUAUAAACAACUACUGAUAUAAUUUUUUAAAAAUAAUUGGAUCUUGAGACUUUCAUAAACCAGAAUAGUUUCUUUUACUACUAGUACUCUAAGCUACUACUAAUCCGUUUUUUGCUUUAUAUAAACUAAGAUCCUAUGAACUUAAUGCUUUUGAAGCUGCAAACAAAAAAAAUGGCAUAGUAAUAUGCACACCUACUAAAUAGAAACACUUGUGCUGAGGAUUGCACAGAUAUAGUAAAAGCAAAACAAUCAUCAACUAUAUAUCAGGGACUAACUAACCAUCACAUUAUCGCAUGGACUUGUCAGACAAAUAUAUAAACGGGACAGAACACGCACCCAGCAUUAAAAAUAAUAGGUGGCAGAAGAUAUAUAAAGAAAAGAUCUUCACUGAAAACCAAAAGAUGCGAGCUUUUUCCUCUACUGAUCAGAAGAAUAACAAUCCCAGUACAAACUCCCUGCAAGAGAACCACAUAAAAUCAAUCAGAAUUUGCCAUAACACACGUAUGAUAUAUAAUUCAGACUUUUCUAAUGUUCUGUUUUAUUUUUAUCAGUAACUGAAGCAACUACUCACAAUCAAAAGGGCAGUGAUUGACUCAUUCACCCAUCGAUUCUCCUCGAGAAGAUGUCCGAUCACAAUACAAGCUAAAAGGAGCGCCACAAAUAGGUUCAUGGAAACCACAGAGGAGUGAUCUGAAGUGGAUAGAGUUUGUAACUUUGACAUCAAAUAGCUCAAAUGGGCAGCCAUUGUAUCCGCCUCUGUUAAGAGAUUAAACGACCAACCAAUAUGCAAUAAGCUAAUUUGAUUAUCUUUCCAGAGAAAACAGAUUGAGAUUCUUUUUCAAACUUUGUAUUGGCGGAAUCUAUGUCUCCGAACUGUCCAUCUCAACAAUCUUUGAUUAUCAUGAACCUUAUGAACUCUGCAUUAAAACGAAAAAGCACGCAUCUUCUAUCAGCCCAGCUGGGAAGCAUAUUUUGAGUUUUCAAAAGCAAAAUUUGGAAGACAAAAUGAGAAAACGAAAAGAGAAGCUUUGAAGAAUAUGUUACAUGCAUCUACACAUACAAAAUGCUAAACGUUAAAAAAGCAACGUUAGGUUGCUGAGAAUUGAGAAAAUGUAGGGAAAUAACCACUUUUUGAAUGUUUUAGAAUUCAAACGACAAACAGCUGACUUUCCUUCAUUCUUCUCAGUUUUCUCAGCAACGAAACGAAAAACAUAAAAAUUAAAUAAAUAAAGAAUCUCAUUUUCCAACCAUUCAUAAACAAAAUGCUUACCAAGAAGGUUCGAAGAACAUGCAUAGCAGCACAAAAUGAAGCACUCACGAAGCUUGUAAUCCUUGUUACUUCAAAAACGACCGAGCUGAAUAUCAAAUUGAGCCUCGUGCUUUGGAUAAAAUGCCAAAUUCAACCUUGUGAUUUGGAUCGAAUGUCAAAUUCACACAGAGAGAGCUCCAACAGAGGAAGGUGGAACUCAAUUUCUGCUUCAAAUUCUCUGGAAAUGAAAACGCUCCGUAUUGCUGACUAAAAAUGGGAGAAUUUCCGAGCUCAACGAGAAAAAGAAAAUUGCUUUUGCUUCCAACAAACGAAACAAAAUUAGAGUUCAAGAAAAUCAGGAAAGAACAUAUUCUGAAAAAUAUUUUCAGAUUGGAAGCCUCUGGAAACAGCGAGAAUACGAAAGAAAAUUUGUAGAGAAAAUGGAAGAAAAAGUUUGUAGAGAGAGAGAGAGAAGCGUGUGAUUUUAGCUUUAAGGGAAAACAGAGGAGGACCCAAAACGAAACACGCAGGGGGUUGAUGUCUGAUUUGACACGGCCGGGUGUAGCGGAAUGUGGCAAGUUGGUGUAGAUCUCGACCGUUGGUUGCGGGUGAUUAAAAUGAUUGUGUCUUCAUCGGGUGGCGGGAGAUUCUUGCUAUAGGGUUUGGGGUUGUGUGGUAUUAACUGAUUAAUGACCGUUGAGGAAACGCAAAGACACUGAAACUCAGCCACUCGCGUCGUUGUUUGCCUUGCGGGAAAUGACUGUAUACAAAGUUUUUUUUUUUUUUUAAGAAAAAGAAAAAAAAAAUUCCUUUUUUAAGCCUUUGCCAAAAAUUAAAGAAAUGAAUAAGGAAGACAAAUAAAAAUGAGUGCUAUUAUUUACACCAAAUAAAACGAAGUCAACAUCUUUCUCUUUCCUUGUUCUUCAUAAAUUAGGACCAAAAAAAAAAACUAAACUUACAAACUCAUAACCCUAAUUUUAUUUUCAGUCACAGAUAAUCCAAUCAUUUUUCUUUCUUGUCUAACUCUAAAGCUCAAGUAGUCCUAUAAUUACAUCGACUUUGGACUUUUGGGCUACUCUAAACUGACAGAAACUCAUGACCAUUUCAUUUCUUCCUUUGUCUCUUUCUUUCCUUUUAAUUUCAAACUCAAAUAACACCUCUUUUGCAGUCUCUGAAAUUAAAAAUAAAAUAAAGCAAAUGUGUUUUCAUUUUCUAGAAUAGAGAGAGAGCAAUCAAUGUGAGUUUUUUUUAUGGGUGAUAGGAAGGGGAGUGUUUUUUCCGUUGGGAGUAGAAGGAGAGUUUUUCUUUGGUUGACCAAGGUCAUGGUGUUGACUGUAGGGUUUUCGCCAGAGGAGGAGGUUGGGGAGGGAAAGGGCGAUUGGGGUGGGGAUAGGCUAAUUGAAUAAAAAUAUUAUUUUUUUUAUAAUUUUUUUUAUUGUAAUAGCAAAUAUGGAAAUACAAUUAAAAGGUAUUUUAGAAAUAAUGGUGAGUGAAAAGAUAGGUUUAUAUUUAUUCAAAUUUAUAUGGUGGGUAGAAAGAUAAAGUUGAUUGAGAAAUAGUAGCACUCAUAAAAAUGGCUUUACAAUGGACUUAAAAUAGAAAAGUAAUUUAGUUUUAAUAACCCAAUUUCACUUAGGUCCACAUACACCGAUCAUUUGAUGAUUGAUCACACGAUCAUAGCAUGAAACCAAGGCGUAAGGAAUGAGUAAUAUCUAUAAAAAGUCAUAAAUUACUUGUCAAGUUGUGAAAGCAUCUUCUCCUUUUUAGAGGGUAAUUUCGUAAUUUUAUAAAUAAUUUGCUUAUGUAAAACCAAUUAACUAUGUUUUAGUUUUGGCAACAAAAAAAAAAAAAAAACCAAUGUUUUAGGUUUUUGGAAUCAUUAUCAUAUUGUCAUAUAACGGGAAUUUUAAACUUAUUAGUGGUUAGUUUAAUAGUACUCCAUUUUUAAUAUUGAAAGAGGUCCCAAUUCAGAUCAACUAAAGACAAAAUUAAAAGCCUAAUUUUCACUAGGCAGGGCCAAUUUUCUAAAAAUCAACACCAAGUUUUCAUUUUUCCAAAGUCGAAACUUGGUUACACCCUUUAGUCAACUCAAAUCUAACUAACACAAGUUAAGCUUGAAUGGUUAAACAAUUACUUUUGAUUGAGCUCGAUUACAAGACUCGACAAGAUAGUUAUAGUUCAUGCCAUUAUGUUAUUAUUUUUCAAAAUCUAUAAAUGAUCGGUGAUUUCAAAUCGCAACCAUUUUAUUUUUUGUUUUUCACAUUUAAGGUUAAUUGAACAUUGUACUAAUGUAGAUUCAUCCAAAAAAUUAUGUAUUAUGUAGGUUCAUAUAUAUCGCAAAACAAAAUAAUUAAAGGGAAGAUAUUACCAUUAACAAAAUGUUUAAUUUUUUGAAACUAAUAAUAUUGGGAAAUUAUUGCAAGAAAAAGAUACCGCACAAUUGCUUCAUGGUGCAUGCACGUGUUGCCAGUGGAUUGGUAAUUAGUUACCAUUCGGCGUGGGGCAGACAGCUUUCCACUCACAGGACCACACCUGGCUUCAGUCCAUGAUAUCUAACUUAAUUGACGCUGACGGGUUUGACUCUUAAUGCAUUUAAUCACGGAACUAAACUCCUUUUAUAAUAAAAAGUUGUCUUGAUUUUCACCUUUUCUUCUUACUUUAUAAAAUUACAUAUCUGCCCCAACUUAUUAAAGAUUGUAUCCACAAUUAGAUUCCAUACUACUUUGCCACUGCUUGUGUUGGGAACUUGGGACAAAAAUAUAACUGUACUUCUGUUUUGUGCUGUCUUUCGUCUUGCUAAUGACGUUAAUAAAUUUUUUUUUUAAAAUGAUGUUAGAGGUUGAGAGGCUUGUCCUUCUUCCACGUGUUAUUGGGUAUAAAAUGUGGGCAAGUUGGCCAACUUUCAGAUAUAUAAUAAAAGAAGUAGGCCAAUUUUUGAAUAACGUAUCAGGAAAUCAUUGUGUUUGUGUUGUGUUGUGGCCGGGGAUCACGUGAAAAUGCAUCUAAAAUAUCAUAUACCAUGAUUUUCUCAAGAAUUGUGUAUAUAAACGUUAAUGUCUCUACAAAUUUCUAUAAACUCUUAAAAAAAGCACGUCAAAUUCUAUCCAAUUUUCUUCGACGAAUCUUAAAACGAAAAAAUAUCAAAUUUUAACCUAUGUCACACAAGACGAGGGAAGAGACUAUAUGAAAUACGUAUAUGAUUUAAUAUAUAUUUUUGUAUAAUAAUGUGAAAUUUUAAAAAGUAUAAAUUUGCACAUGUCGAACUAUAUAAUAAUUAUUUUAUCAUGCAUCACAUCUUAAUUCGCAAGCCACAAACAACCAGCCAACAACAAUCUCAGAAAAGUCUCACGGGCAGCUUGAGGUGAUUCCAAGAUCUUGCCAACAGACGAUCAUAAUGCAAACAAAGAAAUUUUGAAUCUUAGAGCAAAUAUAUAUAUAUAUAUAUAUAUAUAUAUAUAUUAAACAAACAAAGUUUAAUUAACAAUUUCAUUUCGAUGGGCAUCAUUUAACAUUAAUUGCCAUUUAUUAGCACAGACCAAAGACUUCAAGCAAAGGAAAAGUAUAAAAAUAUGGAAAAACAGAGUAUUUUUAAAAUACUAAUGAUAGAUGUUUCUUGUUUCCUUCUUAUUUUAAUGCGCAAGUGAUAGUCUAAAUUAAUUUAAUGUACAGGAAGUGAGAUCGAACUCAGGUGCAAAGAGGCGGACGCGCAAAAUGAAAUAUAUAAGAUAUGACUAAAUGGGCUUUAGUUCGGCUGGAUAUGUUAAUGAGCAGAUCCGGCCCAAACCUUCACCCGAUAACUAAGCCCAAAAGUUUAUUACAUGUUGGUCUGCAGUUCAGCCUAAAGCCCGAGGCAGAGUUAUUAAAAAGUUUGGACAAUUAAUUUGUUAGUUCGCUAAAUUACAAUAUAACGCCGAUGACGUGGCUGUCCCUUAAUGGGUGGACAAUCUCACGGCGAACGCCGUCACCGCAUAGGAAACGGACCCCCAUACUACGGUCGAAUAUGCUUCACAAGCUGUCUCUCUCUGUUGCGCAGUGGGUUUUGAUUAGGGUUUUUCUAAAUUAACCGCUUCAAUUCUUUGUUCUUCGUGGAAUUUAUCGAGAUUCAUCUGAAGAAGACGAAGACAAUGGGCACGCAGAAAAAAAAUGCAUCUAGGGGUUCAGAGGACCCUGUGGAAUUGGCACGUGUUCCUUUGCAGGCCAUCCUCUUAGCUGAUAGUUUUACUACCAAAUUCCGACCCAUCACCCUCGAGCGCCCCAAAGUAUCUCUCUCUCUAUCUCUAUUAUAUUUAUAUAUGCAUGUAUAUACAUAUAUGUGAUGUCUAUGUCUGCGUGUGUUUGUGUAUGCGUGUUCAUGAAUGUGCAUAUGUAUAUGUAUAUGAUGCUGUUUUGUUGUAAUGGAUACAUGGGCUUUCGGAAAAUUUGCGCCCAUUUUUUUUUUUUUUUUGUUUUCUGUGAUAAUUUUGGAAAUUCUCAACUAAACAUAUGUUUAUCUGGCUAUUGGGCUAGUAUAAAUGGAAGUUUUUGUUUUUGUUAGUUCAAAACCAUAAAAUUGAUAAUUGUCAAGCUCGGAAAACGAAGAAAGGCAUUAUGAAUGGAUUUUUCUUUGGAUUUUUGUUUAAUUAUGAACUUUUAGGUAGUGAAAUUGGUAAUGACACAAACCUAUGAGUUUAUGUAGUCUAUGCGAAUUGUCAUGUUUAUUGUUUGUCUUUGCUGAUGAAGGUGCUGUUGCCAUUGGUUAAUGUCCCGAUGAUCAAUUACACCUUAGCGUGGCUCGAGUCUGCUGGCGUUGAGGAGGUUUUUGUUUUUUGCUGUGCUCAUUCUAAACAAGUGAUUGAUUAUUUGGAGAGUUCCGAGUGGUUUUCUCAACCAAACUUCACAGUCACAACGAUUGAGUCACAUAACUCUGUUAGUGCUGGAGAUGCUCUUCGCUUGAUUUAUGAGCGCAACGUGGUAUGCUCAUAUCUCACCUUAUUCUUUUAUGAUUAUUUGGAAAUAUGCUUAGAAUCAGGCCCAUAUUCUUCAUUUUGAGAGAAGAUCAAUAUACACAUGAUGUUUUUAACUUUGAAAAAUGUUAUGCUUGCAACAGUUUAUUUCUUCUGAAAUAAAAUUUCCCCCCUUUCUAUGCAUUUAAAAAGACGUUACCAGAUUAGGUCACUGAUUCUCAAUAUGGAACUUGAGUUAAUCAGCUCUCUCUCAAAUUUUCCGAUUAUGCAGUAGAAUGUAAGGUUUUUAAGGGUUUAGUAUCCACUCUUUUUGCAGUUGAUCUUAUAAUUGUAUCUUCAUCGGAUUAUUUUAAACAUAUUCCAUUCAGUAACUUUUUCAUCAUUUUUCUCUUUCCUCUGAAGAUAAAUGGAGAUUUUGUCCUAAUUAGCGGGGAUACGGUGAGCAACAUGUCGCUUACUCAGGUGCUUCAAGAACAUAAAGAGAGAAGAAAAAAAGAUAGUAAUGCUGUGAUGACAGUAGUUAUAAAACGAUCAAAGCCUUCUCAGAUCACUCACCAAUCUCGACUUGGCACUGAUGAGCUGUUUGUGGCAAUAGAUCCUAAUACAAAGCAGCUUUUAUAUUAUGAGGACAAGGCAGACCAUGCAAAAGGAUCUAUAUAUCUGGAUAAGUUGUUGCUCGCUGAUAACCCUUCAAUUACUCUACAUAAUGACAAGCAGGUAACAUCUCAAGGCCUUCCCUUUAAACUCCAGACUAGUUUUGAUUGUUAAUUAAUCUUUAUAGAAAAGUCGGCUUGUUCUUUUUGUUCUGAUCCUCAACAAGUCUUAAUUGUUCUAAUGACAUCUGAACUAAAUCUCAUACAUUUAACCUCUAUAAGAAUGGGUAUGAAUGGACCCUGAUUGCUUCUGCAAUUAACAGAAUUGAACAAUGAAGCACCCCAGUAGGUUUAUUUAAUUCAUCAGUUCACCUAUAUAUGGAUAUUAUAUUAAGCAUGUCUCCAAUUGGAAGCUGUUGUGAUCAGUACUCUAGUUUUUGGUUCAUAUGUUUCCACUACUCUUGAACCACCAAUUGUAGCUUGAAGUUAAGGGGUUCGGUCCUGUAAUUUAGGGCUUAUCCCUGAAAGAUUUAUUUAUUUGUUUAAUUUUAAAAGAAGUCUCUGUGGUAGAAAUGGGUUUAGUCCAUCGAUCUAAUAAAAUCAAGGGGCUGUUUUAUUUUCUCGUGGCAAAGUGGCUGACAAUGCUUCUGGUGGUUCAUAGUCUAUGUGUGGGUGUGGUGUGUUACAUCAACCCUAAGAAAGAAUUCUAUCAAUAUGUGACAAGUUUAUGAUUCCAGAUGCUUCAGCUUCUUCUCUCUAGAUAAUCCUCUUUCUUGCACAAUUACUAUUUCCUUAUUUUGUGUAAUUCACUUGAAUUAUUGCGAGAGUCUAUUUUUCUGUACUUUGACCCACUUUUUUUUGUCUGCAGGAUUGCUAUAUUGACAUAUGCUCUCCUGAAGUCCUCAGCCUUUUCACAGACAAUUUUGAUUAUCAACAUCUACGCCGUCAUUUUCUGAAGGGAUUGCUUGUUGAUGAUGUAUGUCUCUUUUAAAUAUGUUUUUUAUUCUCCCACAAAAUAUGUUUGUUCCUGUCAAUCUGGGCACAUUUAUCUCUGUGUUUGUUCUAUACCUUGCAAUUCUUCUAAGGGAACCAUCUAUCCGUUCAGAUUAUGGGUUACAAAAUAUUCACACAUGAAAUUCACUCGAGUUAUGCGGCCAGGAUUGACAACUUCCGAAGCUAUGAUACAAUUAGUAAGGACAUAAUUCAGAGAUGGACUUAUCCUUUGGUGCCAGAUGUGAAGUUUUUUGGGAACUCUUCAAUAAAACUGGAAAGACAGGGGAUGUAUCGAGCAUCGGGUAAUUUUGUUAUCUUGAUCCAUGACAGAGAUGGACUUACCCAUUGUCUGCUAGUUGGAAAUUUUACCGGUUUUCUUUUUUCUAUCUCAUUAUGUGUGAUUUGAUAAACUAGCUACUCUUCAGAAAUAGGGCAAUCACGCUCUGCACAGAUUGGUCCUUUUACAGUCAUUGGAAGUGGCACAAAGAUUGGGAACACCACUAAAAUUUCAAAUUCUGUUAUUGGGGAAGGGUGCUCUAUUGGAUCAAAUGUUUCCAUAGAAGGUUCCUAUAUAUGGGAUAAUGUCACCAUUGAAGAUGGCUGCAAGCUAAGGCAUGCUAUAGCAUGUGAUGGAGUGAUAGUAAAGUCCGGAGCAGUCUUGGAACCUGGUGUUGUUUUGUCCUUCAAGGUACGUGCCAGUAAAUCCUAUUAUAGCACUAUUUGGAACUGCCAGACGUUAGUUCUUCUGUCUUAUCAAUUAUAAUGCUCCAAAUCAUAACUGAACAAAAACACCAAGCAGUUUACUGGCCCAAAGAUAUUUGGAAUCUGAAUCUUUGUUACAAUGUUAUAUAUUAAUUUUAAGGUGUAAAGUAGUGGCACUGAUAAGAUGUUCAGAAGUAUAUUGAUUUUGAAGUUUGGAAAUCGAAAGACUGAUAACUUAUAAAUCCUUGAUGUUAAUAUUGUGCCCCUAUAAUCUUUUGUAAAUUCCAUGUUAAAUCUCUUUUUUGGUGUGCAGUAUGCAUUUCUCCCUGUGAAUACCUAUAUUUCUCAUUUUACUGUUAUUAUGAAAUUGCACCUUUCAUAUGUUAGAUGCCCAUUAGAGGGCUUUAUGCUUAAAGACUUCAAAGAGGAGGCACCCUGUACACUUUAGGCAGACCUCUAGAAAACAAUCCUUUUGGACAUACAUGCUUUUCUUGCCUAGGUUCAGCCUUGUAUGUGCACUGGUAUUUAUGAUGUCAUCCAAAAUUAGUCUUACAAACAGAUUGGGAAAUAUGAAUCUUGGCAUGCUCAAAUUGAGUCUCAUAUAUGUUUGUCCUUGUACAUUGAUCUUUGCUUUUUGUCUGAGUUUGUAAGAGCCAGAUACAUUUUGCUUGUGGUUUUCUGAUGUCUGUUAGAUUUUAAUGUGCUUUUGACAUUGCGUACCCUCCAGGUUGUUGUAGGGCAACAGUUUAUUGUCCCUUCAUACUCUAAGGUAUCUCUACUUCAGCAGCCAAUUAAGCAAGACAGUGACGAAGAGCUGGAGUAUGCUGACAGUAGCGGUGGGAUUGCAGAAAUUUCAUGUAACUCUUUCACAUUUUGUCCCUAGGCUUCAUGUUUCGUCUUGUUGAGUUCUGCUAUGUGCAAAAGCAUGGACUUAGCCUGUGUGAUAUCUUUAGGGAAUCUCCGUUUUAUUUAUCCUAUUGCUGGUCUUUAGGUACUGUAGGUAAAUAGUCUGUAAACUUUUUGGAAUAGGAUAGUUUCUUUGAGGUGAACAUGGAAAUUAUUGUCACAUCAAGCAAUUGAAUGAAAAAGAAAUUGUAAUAGGAUGAUAUGACUAGAUUACUUAUUCUUUUGUAUGGUUGACUGUGAUUAUUGAUUUUAAUAACUUUUCAAGAAAUGUCUCAUAGCGGGAAUGCUACAUUGCUUGCCAAUAGGUUCCUGGGACGUGUCAGCCAAAAUGCAGACGUGUAAAUGAAUUGCUAUUUGCUUUAUGGAAAUAUUAUUUCAAAUUAAGGAUCUUGAGGGAGACAUGGGGCUUUAGUCUUUGUUGGGAAAAUUACUCCACAAAUAAUCAAUUUUUAUUGUCCAUUUGACUAUUGUUCUGAUGAAGUUUGUAUUGUUUUUCAACUUUUGUUUGUCUAGACAUAGCUAGUGUAUCUUGCAUUCAUACUUUGUUAGGGACAGCUGUUAAGUAUUUUUAAGCUUAUUUAAUUCCUUUUGUUUAUACAAAUUAUCAAUGUAAGAGAUGUAAUUUCUUUCCCAGUGAUAUUUGCCCUUAUUAUGAGUUGUUCGAUGCAGCUAUCACACAUACAGUGGAUAAACUAAAUGGGGAAAUAACAAACCAACCAUUUGAGACACAAUGUUGGCCGACAUCUGAGGUUAGCUCAUACCUAUCAAGUUUGGUUCUCUGCUGUCCUUCGUUCGUCAAAUAAAAUUUGAAGUAUUUCUUUUUAAUCACAUAUUUUAUAAAUUUCUUUCCCACAUGUCAGACAAUCUUGAUUUGUCUUGUAUUCAUUAACUGUAAAUGCAUAAUUUGUAGAAUAUGUGCAUACAGCUAAGCUCGUUGGGGCAGAAUCUCAAAUUCCUUUAAGACUAGCAAUUAAAAGAAAAACCUGCCCCAGAUGCAUUGCCCAUUACUAUGGGUAUUUUUCAGGUUAGGGGAAAGGUUAUGAUAAUGGUGUGGAGGCUUGUUAUGGUGCUAGAAAGGGAAGAAGGUGUCAAAUUGGAAUUUAACUUUAAAAUCAGGGGUGCUGUCUGAGAACAAGCCUUGUCUUUGCUUAUUUUUCUAUGCUGUAUCUUGGACUACUAGGGUGAUGCAAAUUAACAACAUUGGCAUGAUUUGGGCUUCAGCAUAUGUUAGUACAGCUGGAACUGAAAUGAAGAGAAGGGACAAGGUUGGGGGGAGAAACAAUGAUCAUUGACUUGAACAAGCAUUUGAAAGAAAUCAAUGAAUACUGUUUGCAUUCACCAUGUGCAGUACCCAUUCCUUUUUUUUUUUUUGCUACAUAAACUUAUAAAGUUCUCUUUAUAGUAAUCAUGCUCAUGCGAUGAUGAGCUACAACAUUGUUUAAGUUCUAUAUUUUCCUCUUGUAAGUAAUGACAAGACUGAGCCUCACAAGCAAUAAUCUGAUAUUUAUUGAGUGUACUGCUGCUUCAAUCUUGACAUUCUUUGAUACCAGUUUCUAUUGUUGAUCAGCUUGGUACUGGUGGGGCUGGUUAUGUUUGGUCAAUUUGUGAAGGAGGCCAUGAUGAGGAGUGGAGGCAUUCAGUUGCUCCCAUUCCUGCUGACAAACUUUCUGAAGCAAUACAUGCUGCAGAUGAUGAUUUGGAGCUUACUCAAGAUGGCAGAUCCCUCCCACCUUCAGGAGAGUUAAAACCUGAUUCUAAUGAUUCUGAAUACGAUGAUGAUGGAGAGUCUAGAGAUGAUUCUAUCUACUUUGGGAAAGAGGUGAACAAUGUCAACUGGAAUGUUGAUGGUAAAAUACAAUAUGGUACAAAAUCAAAGCUGAACGUCAACAAUUUUGUUGUCAUCUGCAGGUCGAAGCAACCUUUCUAAGAGCUGUGCAUGAAAAUAUAACAGUAGACCAUGUCAUCUUAGAAGUGAAUUCACUGAGGUACUCUUCUGGUUUUCUUUUAGGGAUCUAUCCAUUACUUCGUGUGUAUCGCACCUCUUAUUUUUAUUUUUCUCAAGGUUUUCCAAAAUGGUCAAUUUCUGUUGAUGUUCAAGUUGUAGGUGCAGACGUGCAUCUCAUGCAGCGGAGUUAACUUAUAUUUAAAUCUUUUAGUUAAACCAUGCAUGAUUACUUGCUUUUAUUGAAUGCCUUCAAUGCUUUCAUGCCCAUUUGUCUGUGUAUUUGGAUCUUCAUCAACAGUCCUUUGAAGAUAUAUCUGCCAACCAUAUAAAAUGUUUUUGAUAUUUCUGUUAAGAUGAUGCUUUAGUGUGUAUUAUUUGGUGAUUGAUGCUUGUCAUUUUUGUCCAUUGAAGGUUGUCAUACAACAAGGUAGCUGCAGACUGUGCUGGAGAUUUAUUUUAUUCACUGAUGAAAUUGGCAUUAGAAACUCCACAGGAUUCAGCAAGUAAAUCUUCCUGAGCUUGCUAUUCUCUUCCCAAUGUGUAUAUUCUGUUUUCAUUUAAAGAACUUUUUUUUUUGGUGAUUGGAAACCUGUGUUAAUAAUAAACUUUAAUAUGCUUAUAUUUCAUGUUUAACAAUUGGUAUUGUCCUCAAAAGUAAAAAGCAAUACUGAAAGAGUUGUAAACAAAAAUUUGGGAUGGUUUUCGCUAUUUCAUAGGUUAAGAUCACAUUAGGGCAAUUCAUGCAUGCAUACACGAAGUGGGCAAGGUUUCAUAAGUCUAUUUUACAGCAUCCCUGUCUUAAUUGUACAAUUACAUGUAAUCUUUGUCAAGCUGCAGUGUAGAUGUUAUUUUCAUAUUACUAAAGUUGUAUGUCUUUCUUCUUGACAUAUGGUUUUAACAAAAUGAUGCUUGUUCAAUUCUUAGGUGAAUUGGUUCAAGCUACUACUAAUGUACUUGCAAAAUGGAAAAAACUGCUGAAGUAUUACCUAGCAGAAAUAGAUGAGGAGGUUUGUAUUUGAAUCCUUUUCAUUAAUACUUGUAGAUAUUAUGUUUACUGUUCUAGAGUUAACAUAAUGCUGGACACCAAGAUCCCUUAGUUUUGAUGGCUGCUAAUCGAUUCCUAUUUUUCCUAUGUAAAAUUGUGAAUGCUUAUGUCUUGUAUUGAAUUACUUGUUCUGUACUUUCAGAUUGAGGUAAUACUUAAACUUGAAGAAAUUUGCGAGUCCACUAAGGAAUUUGCCCCUGUGUUUGAUAAGGUAUGUCUACCUACAUAGUUUAUAAUCAUUUGUAAAACUUGAUACUACAAUUCUAUGCUCAUAUUUAGGAUGUAAAAGAUCAGAGAAAUGCAGUUGUUUCAAAAUCUGUAAUCCUUCUGUUCCUUUGAUAAAUAGUGUAUAUUUUUCUGCUUAGUGCUUCGCCAGCCUUUCUUUCUUAAGCAAGUUGUAAAGUUGACGAGUUUGAUUUAUCUUCUGACCGUUGCAAUUUUCUUUUACAGAUAUUGUAUCAACUGUAUGACCUAGAAGUUAUACAAGAAGAGGCUAUUCUAAGGUGGGAUGAUGAGAAGAAAGAUGCUGAUGAAUCAGAUAAAGUUUUUGUUAAGCAGGCAGAAAAGUUUAUUCAAGUAAGUGCUAUGAUUUAACCUUCUUUUUUUUGUCAUUCGGUAGGGGGUUAUUUAAUUUCUUUUUCAAUAGUAUGUUUAUUACCUUAUCUGAUCGUUAAAUGUUCAUUAUAACAUAUAUACACACUGCCAUUGCACGAUUGGAAUAAUUUUUUUUUUCGCAUUUGCAAUUGCAUGCUAGUGGCUGAGCUUUUAAGGGAAGUACUUCGUAUUUUAAUAUAUCGGUGGAUGCUUGUAUUUGUUAGCAGAAGUUAUGAGUUCAACAUAUAAGUAUGUAUUGUGUGUGACUCAUCAGUUUUUCAAUUCUUUACGGUUGUAUUGUCAGAACGAUUAGCAUGGCCACUAGCUCCGGUGUUGUCCAUUCAUGCAAUAUAAGAAUAGUUUGCAAUUUGGGUUAACCUAAAUACUGGAAAAAAAGAAAAAAGAAAAGAAAAAAGUCAGGCUGAUAUUUCUGGCAACCAAAAUUGAUGACAUGUACCGAUAGCGGUUUUCUCCAGUUAAAUUUCGUAUGAUGUUAGCCUUGUUUCACAACAGUUGCAUCUUGUAUGUCUUAUGUCUCAGUGGUUGAGAGAGGCAUCCGAAGAAGAUGAAGAAGAGGAUGAAGAAUAGGAAGCAGUUGAUUCUUCAUAAGUCCAGUUUGGCAGCGGAUGCUUUUAACAAAGCGGGACCCAAUGGCGAAGAAGUGUGUUCUCUGAUGAUGUUGUAUGGUAGAAAGGGAAAAGCUUUGUCCAUAGGCUCCAAAAAUGCGUUUUUACAAAUUUUCAUGCACUUGCAUGUGUGUAAUUUUUGACAGAAAUCAAUAGUAACAAUUUUGUGCUUUUUUUCUUUUUGUCCUAUGAUAUUUUUCAAGGGUCUGAUAUUGUUAUGCUACCAAUGAGAAAUGUUAUAUCUGAUAAUAAAAAAAAGAAAAAAAAGAAGAGAAAUGUUAUAUGAUUAUUCAUUCACAGUUUUAAACGGUCAAAAUUACGUCCUUUUUGGGUUCAUAAUCAUUUAACUCUAAUACAAACCCAAGUCAUAAAUACCAUAACAGUAGAAAGAAAAAAAAAAAACUAGAAUGGCAUAAAGAAAACCCUAAAGCAACAACUUGUUUACACACAGAAUAAGCAUAAAAGAGGGCAAACAGUGAAAUACCUAGGAAGCGAUUGUUUCAACAAAUUAAUACAACAUCAUCUCAAAUUUCAAGUAGGUAGCUAGGUUGAUAUAUGGUAUAUGCAUAAAUGUACUCGUGAUCGAUAUGUCACACACAUGAUCUAUCUACCAAGGCGGGGGAGGUCCAGGGGGCCCGCCAGGUGGGCCAGGGGGUCCAGGUGGCCCACCAAACAUAGGUCCACAGCAGUUCUCUAGGAUGCAACAGCAGCACAAGAGAUAGAAACUGCCAACAUAAACAAAAAGAAUUGUGGUGAGGGUGUUGGGAACGAUCAAAUGGUGAAUUAUAUUAUCUUACAAAAUAAUGUCAGCUCAAGUUUUUCAAUCACAUCCAUCAUUGGCAUUGGUGCCACCGCCUGAGUUACAAGUUACAACCACCACCACCUUGAGAUUUGAAGAAGGGAGUUUAGAGAAAUUUUCAAAAACCCAUAAAUAAAUUUGGAAUAUUUGUUUACUAAAAACUUCAAUUUAAUAUUAUGAAGGUAAAAUAAUAAUAAAAAACCUAAUCCAUUCACGAAUAUUUAAAACAAAAAUACACACUUAUUAAUACAGAGAUAUAGAUAUAUCUGGAUGUAUAGUUAUCCCCUCCUCCAUUUUUUCACACGACAUCUCCCCAUCAUUUCUUUCAUUUAUUUAUUUAUUUAUAAUUUGUUUAUUUGGGUUCUUUUUAUUUAACAAAAGUACUUGCACGUGGGUUAAAAGAGCUAGUAGUAUUGUGAAUAUGAAGCAUAUUUAUAAAAAGAUAAAGAGAGCAUUUUAGCAAGAGUGGGAACUAAGAUUUACAGUACUAGUACUCAACUCACCAUGAAGAAAAAAGCCUGAAAAUUCCAUCACAACAGAAAGCACAGCAGCCACAUGGCCCUGCCGGCCCUGGAGGUCCUCCCGGCGGCGGUCCCCAACCCGGCAUCUCUCACUCUCUCUCUCUCUGUCUCUCUCUAAUUCACUAGAAGUGCAUAUUUUUAUAGAGUUGCAGUGCAGGGAAGGGAAGACGGUUUGGAAUUAAUGGAAUGUACAAGAAGUUUCUAGUUAGGCCUUUAUUUAUUUUAUUUAUAUUGGAGUGACUGGUAGGUAAGGAAAGGUAAGUAAAGAACCCACCAGCCACCCCCACCAAAAUUAAUAUGUAACCUUUAAAUUUCUUAUUAAAAGAAGUAAGUUUUAAAUGAUUAUUUAGCUUAAUAGCUUUAGGUUAGGAAGAGAUAUAUAUAUAUAUAUAUAUUCAUGAAUCAUAAUGGGGAAAAAAAGGAAGAGAUUUUAUUUAAUUGUCAUGGAUGGUGGAUCAUCUGGUAAACAAAGGUUACAAAAUAUAUAACAUUAAUACUAAUUAAUUCUGCUCAAAAAACAAAAACAAAUGAAAAAUAAAUUGCAAAAUAAACACAAAUAUGGGCUAAAAUAGGGAGAAUAUUGAGUUGCAGGUUGCAAAAACAGCAGCAACAUGCCAACAUCUCACACUUGUUAUUACAUAUUGAACUUGAAACUCAACAUUAUGCAGAAGAUCACAGGCAGCAGCAGCAGCCAGCUCAUAUUCAAAAGCGAGGGGGCCCGCCAGGUCCACCACCGGGUCCACCAGGUCCACCACCGGGACCACCAGGACCGCCAAAUCCCCCACCAAACAUGGGUCCACAGCAGCUCUCAAACAGGCAGCAGCAGCACAGGACAUAAGCACUGCACAGUGCACACCAUAUAUACAUAUACAAUAAUUUUAGAAUAAUAAUAAUAAUAAUUAGGAAAUUACCUUCAUAAAUAAGAAAAAAAAUAAGAAAAUUGAAAGAAGCAUGCAGCAGAUGCAGCUACAUUUUCUAUUAACUUAUAAUUUGGGAGGGCAAUUACAUGAAUAAAAUAUUAUAAAAAGCCAAAGUGAUGAACUCACCAAGAUGAUAAAAGGCGGCAUAUACCGCUACAGAGGGCGCCUAAGCAACCAAAGCCCGGUGGGCCUCCCGGUCCAGGUGGCGGCAUCUCUUUCUCUUCUCUUCUCUGUGUCUCUUAAUCAAGCAAAGCACUCUGG